rnacentral:rRNA from 1 species
UGACUGACCUCAAAUCAGG